CUGGUGGCUCAGGUGGUAAAGUAUCUGCCUGCAAUGCAGGAGACCCAGGUUCAACCCCUGGAUCAGA
rnacentral:tRNA from 1 species